GACGAACGCUGGCGGCGUGCCUAAUACAUGCAAGUAGAACGCUGAAGGAGGAGCUUGCUUCUCCGGAUGAGUUGCGAACGGGUGAGUAACGCGUAGGUAACCUGCCUGGUAGCGGGGGAUAACUAUUGGAAACGAUAGCUAAUACCGCAUAAGAGUAGAUGUCGCAUGACAUUUGCUUAAAAGGUGCAACUGCACCACUACCAGAUGGACCUGCGUUGUAUUAGCAAGUUGGUGAGGUAACGGCUCACCAAGGCAACGAUACAUAGCCGACCUGGGAGGGUGAUCGGCCACACUGGGACUGAGACACGGCCCAGACUCCUACGGGAGGCAGCAGUAGGGAAUCUUCGGCAAUGGACGGAAGUCUGACCGAGCAACGCCGCGGGAGUGAAGAAGGGUUUCGGAUCGUAAAGCUCGGUUGUAAGAGAAGAACGAGUGUGAGAGUGGAAAGUUCACACUGUGACGGUAUCUUACCAGAAAGGGACGGCUAACUACGUG
rnacentral:rRNA from 1 species